UUAUAAUAAAUAGUGUGUAGCGCAUUAUGUAUGUACGUAUGUAUUUAUUAUAAAUUGUAAAAUUCAACAAAUAUUAUGAAGAUAAAUAUGUUGAUAAAAGUAUAUUCUUUAUUAUUUUUUUAUUUUUAUUGUAUUGAAAUCAUGUGCUUUCUGAACUGGAACUAUCAUACUAUUCAGACUGGCUUUGCCAGUCGGGUUGAAUAAAAGGAAACUCCGGUUAGCCAGGCUGAUCGCUGUCCAUAUGGCAUCUAGUUAAAGUAAUCUUUUACUAUUGUGUCUGUUGUGAAUAGAAUAGAAUUACUGCAUCGCACGAUAGCACAUUGCUACUGUCAAAACAAAAUGACGACCCUUAUGUUGACGACCAUUAACUUACGAUUGAUUACACAAGGAUCAAGGGAAAUUAAGUUUCAUUCUUCGCUUCAUUACGCAACGUAGUACUUUAUCUCAAUGAAAUUAUCAAGCGCAAACGACGCGUGCAUUUGGAAACCCCAAGACGAAUUAUUUUUUUUUUAUUAAUUGACUAAAACUAUCCUAUGAAAGAGCGUGUGAAGGCUACGCACGUCAGUUUGAAGAGAAUAUUUUCUCACACAAACUAUGAUUUUAAAGUAUGAAAGAAUUCAAGGUUACGUAAACACCGCACCUGAAUGUAUAUGUGGCAACAAACUCAGUUCAGCCAGUCGAUGUAACACCGACAGUAAGGGCCAAGUAUCAAUACUGAAUUGACACUGUUUGGACCGCGUCGUUAAAAAAGAAGAGGAAGACAAAGAGUCACUGAGGAGGUGGUAUGAGGUUUUUAUUUAUAGACGCGUGCAAACAUGCAAUAAGUGUCAUUUGAACUAAUAUAUGUAUCUUUGUUUACACGAUAUUUCACAGCAAAGUGAAUAUGGAUGUGCAAGGUACAACAAUCAGCUGUAACUUUAUUAUUGUUUCUGCAUUGUCUUCCCAAAGUUGUCGUUACGCAGAAAAAAGUACGCCGUCAAAAAGAGAAAACAAAAGGUCCAUUUGGAAUUUCUGUUACAGCUGUAUGUUUUAAGUAAUUUAUCUUCCUCCUCUCCCCGGGUUAACAUGUGCAUACUGUAUCUCACAGAAACAAGUUCUUUAUCAAUUUAUAUAUUGUACUUAUAUUCCCUGAAAAUUAUCUUUCCUCGCCAUCGUAUAAAAUCGUCGCAACGUUGUCAAACGUAUUUUGUGCAAUAUACAGAAAUAACUGACUUUCUUUGCAAAUCGUGAGAUUUCAAAAUUUUUAGUGAAGAUAUAAUUAUAAUUUUACAAGUUUGGGUUUAUGAAAACCGUGCUUUUUAGUAUUUCAGAUUGAAUCAUUACAGUGAGAACAGCAUGCAAUAUACCAAAAUGAUCUAUUCCAUGUGUCGUUUACUGAUUUAUUUUCAGGUGUACUUUUAGCAUUGGAAAUUCGACUAUAGUUAUUGCAUUUUGCGUUUUAAUAUUGUGUAGUUUCACCAGGUUAUAUUUUUAGACGUUUUGUUUCGGCGUGUGUAAAUUAGGAUAAUGCAUAUUGUCACUUUAAAAAAUUUAGAUUACUUUAAAUUUGAAAAAAAGUGACUUAAGACGUACUUGAGGCGGAAGACUCACCGCUCGCUUAUGACGCUUUGUUAUUUUAGUCCACAUAAAACUCCAUAAAAUUGAAAUAAAGUGUGAAAAUGGAACUAGGUCAGUAGUGAGCAGCUAUUCAUUGUAAGUUGGGGAUCUUAGGGCAAAAUGAAUUGUUGUAAAUCAUUUCUCAUAUUUUUUAGUUUCUAAGUUUUCUUAUAGGAAUUGUGAAUGCUUUCUUUACCUAAUUUGGCUUUUAAAAACCUUGAUUGUUCCAUGCUGCUACAUUGUGAGGUACUUGUGGACAUCCUCAACUUCAUUCUCUCGGUCUAACCUCCUCAGCCAUCCUUUUCCCUGCAACAGUGAAUGAUUAUCUUCAUUAAGUAAAUAACACAGUGUUAUAACACAUAAAAAUAAAUAAAAAAACGAAAAACUUACGCCACUCUUUUCACUGUUCUUCUCCAGAUUCUAAAUUAAUAAAAAGUUCGUAAAGCAUUAGUAUUAAGUAGUCAUUGGAGCGAAUGAGGAUUUUCAUCAGAUUUCUUCAGAAAAUUGUACUUCGGCGAGAGUUUGCUGACGUCAACAAAUUUUUUAACAUUUAUCUAAAAACACAUGAUCACGCGUUAUAGGCUAUACCUAAUACCAUGGUGGUAUAAAAGAACAGGAGAUACAACCCCUUAUGAAUGUUUGGUUCUGCAUUACUGGCGUCAUUUAAACUCCCAAAACCAUCUAUAUAUUUUUUCAUUGUCUCUUUCUUAUCCAUCAGUUCAAAUUAAAUUACCAAAUUAACUACUUUAAGAAGUAACAACUUCGUAAUAUAAUUUAAAUAGUUCAACUUUGUUUGGUUUUCUGUUUUCUUUUUAUUCUUCAAACACAACAUUCAUUACUUUCAAUAUUAACAUUGUCUUCCCUUCCACCUAAGAGUUGUGACGUUGUGUAACAUUAUUUUGUAGUUUAAUGCGAUCAUAUCUGUGUGACGUUCACUUAUCCGAAAGUAGCUACAAGAAUCGCUCACAGGAGAUACAACCCCUUAUGAAUGUUUGGUUCUGCAUUACUGGCGUCAUUUAAACUCCCAAAACCAUCUAUAUAUUUUUUCAUUGUCUCUUUCUUAUCCAUCAGUUCAAAUUAAAUUACCAAAUUAACUACUUUAAGAAGUAACAACUUCGUAAUAUAAUUUAAAUAGUUCAACUUUGUUUGGUUUUCUGUUUUCUUUUUAUUCUUCAAACACAACAUUCAUUACUUUCAAUAUUAACAUUGUCUUCCCUUCCACCUAAGAGUUGUGACGUUGUGUAACAUUAUUUUGUAGUUUAAUGCGAUCAUAUCUGUGUGACGUUCACUUAUCCGAAAGUAGCUACAAGAAUCGCUCCUAGGUUUUUUCUAGUACAGUUUCCCAGUCCUUCAUAUGGCGAGUAUAACAAAUUCUACAUUCCCGCAUGACAAACUUACUCUUGGCUUUUCCUUUUCGUAAAACUUAUUUUGAAAAAGAAAACAUUCACUACAUCUUAUAACGUUGAGCAUUUUGUUAUCUGUUGCUAAGAAAAAAUUUUAUUACACAAAUAAAAUAAAAACUAUAACAUCCAAAAAACUGCGUCGCUUAAGCAAUUUUUUUUAUGAAGGAAUUCAAACGCAUGCAUUUCUUCUCUAUCAAUUGUGACUUUUUCUCUUCCACUUGGGCACAAUAUUUGCUUAAGAAACGUGCGUGAAAACAAGUACGAAAAUUAGAAUUAACGUUGUCCUUUCGUUCAUUCAAAAUUAAUCAAAAAAUUAAUCGGACAAAGCAUUAAUCAUGUUAAAUAUUAUUCGCAUCUGUUGUAACAAAUGGCAUAACUAUCAGUAAACAUGGCAAAACGCGAUAAAAAAUAAUUUGAAGUUCAUUACACAUGUUGUAGCUGUUUAAUAAUGUGAAUUCCCAGUUUGAAAAACACCUUGCAAGUUGAACAAAGAUUGAUCCAAAAAAUUAUCCAAAAACAAUUAUUAAUUGAUGAUUCUAGCCUUUUUUUAAGGUUUCCAUUUUUUACAUUAAAUUGGUAUUUGCGUUGACAACGGAUUAAAGAAGUUUGCAUUUUCCAAAUAACAAGUCACAUCUAAAAUAUGUUAAUAAUCUUGCCUCACUUUCUUUCUUCCUUGUCUUCUGAGAAAACUAUUGAGAAUUAUAAAAAGUAGCUAUUACACAGUAGUGAAAAAUUGCCGUACCAGGUAUUCGCAUGGUGUCAUCCCACUCAACAUGAUCUAAAGAGAAAUUUUUUUUAUACAUAGCCUUAAAAAAUGUUUUGAUACAGGAUUAUUAAAAUGGUGUAAAACUAGGUUUCCAAAUCGACGAAUAAAUUCAUAAUAUUAUCAUCCUCUCUAACCACAUCUUCUAUUUUUUAGCUUCUUUAUGUAGUGAUUUGCAAUUGUUUAAUGUAAUUUGUUAGUUUCGGUAAUGUUCUGUAACAACGCUUCAUUAAACAAAAUUUGAUGUUUUUAGCAAUAAAUGCAAUUCUGCUUAUGAUAAAAUUGAUUUUAGUUGAACCAUAUGUAAUUCCGUAACUAUUGACUGUUAUUUCUCCUUCUGCAGAAUAUUUCCGCGCUUCAAUUUUUGACAAAUUCUUGUAACCCCUUCAUUACUUGUCAUUCCCAAGGCAAGUGAUCUUACUGUUUCCAAAAAUGCUUAAAUAUUGUUAUCAUCACAAUGAGAAUUUAGCUUAUGGUAACUUGUGGUUACCUACGGUAUUACGAAAAAUAAAUAUACCUGGUAUAUCCUAAGAUGAUUAUUUACCUAUUUUUGUGCAUUAAUUGAAGCUAAGAAAGAAAGACAAAUUUAUUAUUAAACACGAUUAUAAUGUACAUCGUUAAACAACAUAAUUAUUAUUGAGAUUGUUAUGAAUAUGCAACGUCUUAAAAUAUUAACUGAAGCAUUCCAUUUCCCAAAUCAUAACGAACAAUAUUUAUCUGCUUUGCACUGAUUUCGUAUGAAAAUAAUGCUUGCAAUUCCAAUCUAAAAAAAGGAAGUAAUAAAAUCUUUGGUCUAUAUUUUCAGAAAUUCACUGUAAAUAAUGUGGCUUGUCUGCGUUUUAAUGUUUCUUUAAAAUAGACUCUCCCAGCCCUCUGUUUAUAUGACUGAUGUUUGGAAUAAGUGGUUCUUUGUGAAAUGCAGUCGGUGUGUUUAAUCGCAAGUGCGCAAACAUUUUAACAGACGAUUUUCAGUUCAUGAAUGCUUCAGUAUUUAUUAUUAGUGAAGGUAAGAUCAACUAUUUCUAAUAAAGUUUGUACCUUAUCCUGUUUUUAUCUUAGUAUUCUGUUUUGUCUUGUAGCUAUGAUAUUGUUGCUUAAAAAGAAGUUAUAGCAUAGAUCUAGUUGUUUUUUAUGAACUCUGUUUUUAUAUUGUUUUCAAUUUAUUGUUUUAUCUUUAGACAAGAACAAAUUGCGUUUGUUUCAGGCAACAGAAGUGACAUAAAAAAUGAGACAUUGAUAGCGACAUCAUGAGAUAGUACAAUAACCUACUAAUGCAGAAAUCAGAAAUUGGAUAGAAAUAUUGUUUCAAUUGCUUCAUAAGUAACUAUGGCAGACUAUUCUACUAAUGUCCGCUAUACUUAAUUAAAGACUAAUAUGUUUCACAAGCGUAAUUAAACGUAAUUAAGUACUUGAUCAAUUGUAACACUUCAAUAAUCACAAUUGGUUCGUUCAGAUUUGCUCAGUUCUUCUGUUCCAGAAUAUACGGCGACGUUUUUACUCUGAUAUAAUGUACUAUGCAUGUUUAUUUUCAUGCUACAAUCUACUUAGAAAGACUGCUAUGUAUCAUGUUUUCAAUUUUAACUUCCAAAGCGUACUUCUUCAGGUUUCCGCAACUUUUUUGUUCAAAAGAAAUGUAUGAAGCACGUUAAUUUAUUAUAAGUAACUCUGAGCAGUCAAAAACGACACAACCAUUGGAAAAGUAUAAUCAGUUAUUUUAAACCAGACUUACAAGAAACCGCAAGAAAAAUUGUUGUCACGAAUUUUAUAAAACAGGACGAUCAUAUAACUUGAAAAAUAUUAUUGAUAGAUACUAUUUAAAAAUAAUAUACUUGAAAAUAUAUAACCUAUAAUAGUUUUGUUAAAAAAAUAGAACAGCAUUCAUG